UAAUACUAUCAUAUCCCCCGUCUUGUCUUUCCUCCAGGCUAUACAUGUUUAGAUCCUUUAACCUUUCCUUGUAAUCACCAUAUUUAUUGCUAGAAAGUUUUGUUUCAAACCGUAACCCUCAUCACUGUGGACUCGUGACAGAUGUAACAUCUAUUUUUAUUUUCAGUAAUAGUUUUGUACGCUAGCCAACCCGCUUGUCAGGUACGGAGACGUUUUAGACAUGGAUUUUUGACAAGUGAAUAAAAAU